rnacentral:sRNA from 1 species
GCCAGGCGCAGUGGUGCAUGCCUGUAAUCUCAGUGGCUUGGGAGGCUGAGGCAGGAGGAUCUGGAGUUCAAAGCUAGCUUCAACAAUUAAGUGAAGCUCGAAGAAACUCAGUGAGAGUUUAGAGACCCUGUCUCUA